UACGAAGGGGGCGAGCGUUGUUCGGAAUUACUGGGCGUAAAGGGCGCGUAGGCGGCCCCUUUUGUCGCGUGUGAAAGCCCCGGGCUCAACCUGGGAGGUGCGCGCGAAACGGGGGGGCUUGAGUUCGGGAGAGGAGAGUGGAAUUCCCAGUGUAGAGGUGAAAUUCGUAGAUAUUGGGAAGAACACCGGUGGCGAAGGCGGCUCUCUGGACCGAGACUGACGCUGAGGCGCGAAAGCGUGGGGAGCAAAUAGG
rnacentral:rRNA from 1 species